rnacentral:rRNA from 1 species
CCUACGGGUGGCUGCAGUGGGGAAUAUUGCACAAUGGGCGCAAGCCUGAUGCAGCCAUGCCGCGUGUGUGAAGAAGGCCUUCGGGUUGUAAAGCACUUUCAGCGGGGAGGAAGGCGGUGAGGUUAAUAACCUCAUCGAUUGACGUUACCCCGCAGAAGAAGCACCGGCUAACUCCGUGCCAGCAGCCGCGGUAAUACGGAGGGUGCAAGCGUUAAUCGGAAUUACUGGGCGUAAAGCGCACGCAGGCGGUCUGUCAAGUCGGAUGUGAAAUCCCCGGGCUCAACCUGGGAACUGCAUUCGAAACUGGCAGGCUAGAGUCUUGUAGAGGGGGGUAGAAUUCCAGGUGUAGCGGUGAAAUGCGUAGAGAUCUGGAGGAAUACCGGUGGCGAAGGCGGCCCCCUGGACAAAGACUGACGCUCAGGUGCGAAAGCGUGGGGAGCAAACAGGAUUAGAUACCCUAGUAGUC